UACAGGGGGUGCAAGCGUUGUUCGGAAUUACUGGGGCGUAAAGCGCGGGCAGGUGGCCCGGCUAAGUCUGCGGGUGAAAUCCCCGGAGCUCAACUCCGGAUAUGCCGCGGAUACUGGCGGGCUAGAGACCAGUGAGAGGCGAGUGGAAUUCCAGGUGUAGCGGUGGAAUGCGUAGAUAUCUGGAAGAACACCGGUGGCGAAGGCGGCUCGCUGGCUGGUUCUGACACUCAUCCG
rnacentral:rRNA from 1 species